rnacentral:rRNA from 1 species
GACGAACGCUGGCGGCGUGCUUAACACACGCAAGUCGAACGGAAAGGCCCUGCGUUUGUGGGGUGCUCGAGUGGCGAACGGGUGAGUAACACGUGAGUAACCUGCCCUUGACUUUGGGAUAACUUCAGGAAACUGGGGCUAAUACCGGAUAGGAGCUCCUGCUGCAUGGUGGGGGUUGGAAAGUUUCGGCGGUUGGGGAUGGAAUCGCGGCUUAUCAGCUUGUUGGUGGGGUAGUGGCUUACCAAGGCUUUGACGGGUAGCCGGCCUGAGAGGGUGACCGGCCACAUUGGGACUGAGAUACGGCCCAGACUCCUACGUGAGGCAGCAGUGGGGAAUAUUGCACAAUGGGCGGAAGCCUGAUGCAGCAACGCCGCGUGCGGGAUGACGGCCUUCGGGUUGUAAACCGCUUUCGCCUGUGACGAAGCGUUAGUGACGGUAAUGGGUAAAGAAGCACCGGCUAACUACGUG